GCUCCAGGAAAACGAGCAGCAGGCCAGAGAGUGUAGCGAGUGGUACCUCUUACUCUUACACAGGACAACCUCCUAAGAGUCGCCAACUAGAGUCACAGGAGGAAUGGCAAACACACAUCGUUAGACAACAGCUAGCUGAGGUCGCCGUGUCCGAAACCCUCGCCCUGGAUUCGCCCGUCAGCAACAGCAACUGGAUGCUGAGGAAAC